AAGAACUGCCAGUGAUAAGCUGGAGGAAGGUGGGGAUGACGUCAAGUCCUCAUGGCCCUUACGUGUUGGGCUACACACGUGCUACAAUGGCAUCUACAACAGGAAGCAAAACGGCAACGUUAAGCAAAUCCCAAAAAGAUGCCUCAGUUCGGAUUGCACUCUGCAACUCGAGUGCAUGAAGCUGGAAUUACUAGUAAUCGUGGAUCAGCGUGCCACGGUGAAUGCGUUCCCGGGUCUUGUACACACCGCCCGUCACACCAUGGGAGUUGGUUCUACCUUAAGGCAAGGUUUUAAACCCUUGACCACGGUAUAGUCAGCGACUGGGGUGAAGUCGUAACAAGGUAGCCGUAAAUCACUAGUGAAUUCGCGGCCGCCUGCAGGUCGACCAUAUGGGAGAGCUCCCAACGCGUUGGAUGCAUAGCUUGAGUAUUCUAUAGUGUCACCUAAAUAGCUUGGCGUAAUCAUGGUCAUAGCUGUUUCCUGUGUG
rnacentral:rRNA from 1 species